rnacentral:lncRNA from 10 species
CACUUAUGUGGUAUUAUUUAACAAUGCCAAUUGAAAAAACACAAAUACUUCCUGUUAAAAAAAAAUAAAGUCAACUUAAAAUUAUUUAUCAGUGGAUUAUAUCUUCUUUGCAUUAUGUUUGGAGAGUCUCCUCUGUCAUUAAGAUGAGUUCUGAUCAUUUCAUUUAAUUUUCUCAAUGACUCAACGACAUAGGUAAUUAGGCAAAUAAUGUACAUAACACACUUUGCUUGCCACAGUAAAUGGCAAUUUCAAUACCCUUACCUAGAAUACUCCUGGUCAAAUCAAAGAACGCUAAAACAUAAAGCAGGAAAUAAAAUUUUCCCAAAUGCUGGCCUGGCAUGGUGGCUCACACCUGUAAUCCCAGCCAUUUGGGCGGCUGAGGUGGCAGAUCACUUGAGGCCAGGAGUUCCAGAGCAGCCUGGCCAACAUGACAAAAUACCAUCUGUACUAAAAAUACAAAAAUUAGCCAGGCGUAGUGGUGUUCGCAUGUAGUCCCAGCUACUCCGGAGGCUUAGGCAGGAGAAUCGCUUGAACCUGGGAGGUGGAGGUUGCCGUGAGCUGAGAUCACGCCACUACACUCCAGCAUGGGCAACAGAGUGAAACUCUAUCUCAAAAAAAAAAGUUUACCCCAAAUGCUAAACACUAAUUCAAAUCAAGAUCACAAUAAGGCGAGGCACGCUGGCUCACGCCUAUAAUCCCAGCACUCUGGGAGGCGAAGGUGGGCAGAUGACCUGAGGUCAGAAGUUGAAGACCAGCCUGCCCAACAUGGUGAAACCCUGUCUCUACUAAAAGAAAUACAAAAAAUUAGCCGGGCGCAGUGGCUCGCUCCUGUAAUUCUAGCACUCUGAGAGGCCAAGGUGAGUGCAUCACCUGACAUCAGGAGUUCAAGACCAGCCUGGCCAACAUGGUGAAACCCCAUCUCUACUAAAAAUACAAAAAUUAGCCAGGCUUGGUGGUGGGUGCCUCUAAUCCCAGCUACUCAGUAGGCUGAGACAGGAGAUUUGCUUGAACCCGGGAGGCGGAGGUUGCAGUGAGCUGAGAUCGCGCCACUGUAUUCCAGCCUGGGUGACAAGAGCAAAACUCCACCUCAAAAAAAA